rnacentral:rRNA from 1 species
GACGAACGCUGGCGGCGUGCUUAACACAUGCAAGUCGAACGAAGUGGCGAACGGGUGAGUAAUACGUGGGUAACGUGCCCUCCGUUUUGGGAUAAGACUUGGAAACGGGGUCUAAUACCGAAUCAAGGGGGAUGGGCUCGUGGCCUCUCAGUUUGUUGGUGGGGUGAUGGCAGACCAAGGCGGUGACGGGUAGCCGGCUCGAGAGGGUGACCGGCCACAGUGGGACUGAGAUACGUCCCAGGCUCCUACGGGAGGCAGCAGUUGGGGCAAUUGAACAAUGGGUGAAAGCGUGAUGCAGCGACGCCGCGUGGGGGAUGAAGGCUUUCAGGUUGUAAACCUCUUUCGCUAUCGAGCGGGUAGGUGGAGAAAAAGCGCCGGCUAACUACGUGCCAGCAGCCGCGGUAAUAC